rnacentral:rRNA from 1 species
UAAGGAAUAUUGGACAAUGGCCGCAAGGCUGAUCCAGCCAUGCCGCGUGCAGGAAGAAGGACCUAUGGUUUGUAAACUGCUUUUGUAACAGGGAAAACCCAUCUACGUGUAGAUGGCUGAUAGUAUGUUAAGAAUAAGCAUCGGCUAACUUCGUGCCAGCAGCCGCGGUAAGACGAAGGAUGCAAGCGUUAUCCGGAUUCAUUGGGUUUAAAGGGAGCGUAGGCGGAUUGGUAAGUCAGUGGUGAAAUCUGUGGGCUUAACCCACAAACUGCCAUUGAUACUGCUGAUCUAGAGUACAGUUGCCGUUGGCGGAAUAUGACAUGUAGUGGUGAAAUACUUAGAUAUGUCAUAGAACACCGAUUGCGAAGGCAGCUAACGAAGCUGUAACUGACGCUGAGGCUCGAAAGUGCGGGGAUCAAACAG